rnacentral:rRNA from 1 species
GUGAAAAGAACCCCGAGCAGGGGAGUGAAAUAGUUCCUGAAACCAUACGCCUACAAGCGGUCGGAGCAUCGCAAGAUGUGACGGCGUGCCUUUUGCAUAAUGAUCCUACGAGUUACCGUCACUGGCGAGGUUGAGUGUCACGAGACACGUAGCCGCAGUGAAAGCGAGCCUGAAGAGGGCGCACAGUCAGUGGGGGUAGACGCGAAACCAAGUGAUCUACACUUGGCCAGGAUGAAGUCCCGGUAACACGGGAUGGAGGUCCGCACCAAUAAGCGUUGAAAAGCUUCUGGAUGAGCCGAGUGUAGGAGUGAAAGGCCAAUCAAACUUGGAGAUAGCUCGUACUCCCCGAAAGGCAUUUAGGUGCCGCGUCGGAUGGUCACCGUGAGAGGUAGAGCGACCGAUAGGACAAGAGGGCUUCACCGCCUAUCGAGUCCUGACGAACUCCGAAUGCUCACGGUCUGCAGUCCGGCAGUAAGGGGGCGGGUGCUAAGGUCCGUCCCCGAGAGGAGAAGAAUCCAGACCGCCGUCUAAGGUCCCGGAGUUCUGCCUGAGUUAGUCUAACGAAGUCUGGUCCCUAUGACAGCUAGGAUGUUGGCUUGGAAGCAGCCAUUCAUUCAAAGAGUGCGUAACAGCUCACUAGUCGAGGGUCCGGGCAUGGAUAAUAAUCGGGUAUAAGGCAGACACCGAAGGCGCGGGAUAGCAUUUAAGAAAGUAUCGGUAGGGGAGCAUACUCACAGCGUCGAAUGGUGUACGUAAGUUAUCCUGGAGCGGUGAGUAAAGCAAAUGUAGGAAUAAGUAACGAUAAGGAGGGUUAGAUUCCCUCCCGCUGUAAGACCAAGGUUUCCCGGGCAAUGCCAAUCAGCCCGGGGUCAGUCGGGUCCUAAGUCUAAGCCGAACGGCGAUGGCGAUGGCAGAGACGGUUAAUAUUCCGUCACUGCCGCAUGGGGCGAUGUGGAGACGGAGCAGUGAAACCACCGCGGGGCGACGGAAGUCCCCGUUGAAGAGUGUAGGCGUUGAGGAUGGCAGGCAAAUCCACCAUCCGAGCUGAACUUGACAGUAUGGAGUCUUCUUCGGAAGAAUCCAAUAGUGUGGGUAAUCAUACUCCCGAGAAAAUCCGCUAAGCUUAACCCAUGCGGCACCCGUACCGCAAACGGACACACGUGGUCGGGUAGAACAUACUAAGGCGUUGAGAGAUUCAUGGUUAAGGAACUAGGCAAAUUGACCCUGUAACUUCGGGAUAAAGGGUCCUCGUGAUGAGCGAGGCGCAGAGAAUAGGUCCAGGCAACUGUUUAACAAAAACACAGGGCUGUGCAAACUCGAAAGAUGACGUAUACAGCCUGACACCUGCCCGGUGCCGGAAGGUUAAGAGGAGAUGUCACUCGCAAGAGGAAGCAUUGAAUUGAAGCCCCGGUAAACGGCGGCCGUAACUAUAACGGUCCUAAGGUAGCGAAAUUCCUUGUCGGGUAAGUUC